rnacentral:ncRNA from 1 species
UUUUGGGUGCUAAGAUCCAAAGUCGAGAGGGAAACAGCCCAGAUCGUACGCUAAGGUCCCUAAGCAAUCACUUAGUGGAAAAGGAAGUGAUCGAGCGAUGACAACCAGGAGGUGGGCUUGGAAGCAGCCAUCCUUUGAAGAAAGCGUAAUAGCUCACUGGUCUAGCUCCAUGGCACCGAAAAUGUAUCAGGGCUCAAGCCUUGGACCACUUCAGAACUUCCAGAAGAAAGAUUACAAGAAAAUGAGGAUGGAAAGGGAAGCCAAAAGGUGUGA